rnacentral:rRNA from 1 species
GAUGAACGCUGGCGGCGUGCCUAAUACAUGCAAGUCGAGCGAACGGACGAGAAGCUUGCUUCUCUGAUGUUAGCGGCGGACGGGUGAGUAACACGUGGAUAACCUACCUAUAAGACUGGGAUAACUUCGGGAAACCGUAGCUAAUACCGGAUAAUAUUUUGAACCGCAUGGUUCAAAAGUGAAAGACGGUCUUGCUGUCACUUAUAGAUGGAUCCGCGCUGCAUUAGCUAGUUGGUAAGGUAACGGCUUACCAAGGCAACGAUGCAUAGCCGACCUGAGAGGGUGAUAGGCCACACUGGAACUGAGACACGGUCAAGACUCCUACGGGAGGCAGCAGUAGGGAAUCUUCCGCAAUGGGCGAAAGCCUGACGGAGCAACGCCGCGUGAGUGAUGAAGGUCUUCGGAUCGUAAAACUCUGUUAUUAGGGAAGAACAUAUGUGUAAGUAACUGUGCACAUCUUGACGGUACCUAAUCAGAAAGCCACGGCUAACUACGUG